UCUCCGUUGGUGAACCAGCGGAGGGAUCAUUACAGGAAUCGCAAGAUCCCUCACCCCGUGAACCUACCGAAACGUUGCCUCGGCGGGCGCCCGGCCUCGCGCCGGGCGCUCACGCCCGCCGGCGGCCCCCCAACUCUGUCUCUGCAGCGUGGCAUCUCAGUAAACACAAACAAGUAAAAACUUUCAACAACGGAUCUCUUGGCUCCA
rnacentral:misc_RNA from 1 species